rnacentral:rRNA from 1 species
UACGUAGGGUGCAAGCGUUGUCCGGAAUUAUUGGACGUAAAGAGCUCGUAGGCGGUCUGUCGCGUCUGCUGUGAAAACUCGGGGCUUAACCCCGGGCCUGCAGUGGGUACGGGCUGGCUAGAGUGUGGUAGGGGAGAUCGGAAUUCCUGGUGUAGCGGUGAAAUGCGUAGAUAUCGUAAGGAAGACCAGUGGCGAAGGCGGGUCUCUGGACAGUUCCUGACGCUGAGGCACGAAGGCCAGGGGAGCAAACGGG